AUGGCUGUCGUCAGCUCGUGUCGUGAGAUGUUGGGUUAAGUCCCGCAACGAGCGCAACCCUCAUUCUUAGUUGCCAUCAGGUUAAGCUGGGCACUCUAAGAAAACUGCCGGUGAUAAGCUGGAGGAAGGCGGGGAUGACGUCAAGUCCUCAUGGCCCUUACGGUCUGGGCUACACACGUGCUACAAUGGUGGUGACAGUGGGCAGCUAUACUGCAAAGUAAAGCUAAUCCCAAAAAACCAUCUCAGUUCGGAUUGGACUCUGCAACUCGAGUCCAUGAAGUUGGAAUCGCUAGUAAUCGUAGAUCAGCGUGCUACGGUGAAUACGUUCUCGGGCCUUGUACACACCGCCCGUCACGCCAUGGGAGUUGGUUUUACCUUAAGCCGGUGCGCUAACCGCAAGGAAGCAGCCGUCCACGGUAGGGUCAGCGACUGGGGCGAAGUCGUAACAAGGUAACCGUAGGGGAACCUGCGGUUGGAUCACCUCCUUUCUAAGGAUAUUGAUGUUUGUUUAGGCAAACAUCCGGAUUGUUGUCUAUUUAUCUCUUUAUAAUAUUAGCUAAGUGCUAGGUGUUUCCUUAAUCAAACUGGGCCGGUAGCUCAGUUGGUUAGAGCGCGCGCUUGAUAAGCGUGAGGUCGGAAGUUCAAGUCUUCCUCGGCCCACCAUUUAUUCAAGGGGGAUUAGCUCAGCUGGGAGAGCGCCUGAUUUGCAUUCAGGAGGUCAGCGGUUCGAUCCCGCUAUCCUCCACCAUAACCUCUAAUAUUAUAUCUUAUUUGUUCUUUAAACUUGUAAAUAUGAAACUAAUAACUGAUCAAAAUAAUUUUAUUAUUGAUUAAAAAUACGUACAAAAUUUUUCUCUGUACGUAAUUGCAAUCAAGCGCAAAAGGGCAUUUAGUGGAUGUCUUGGCAUUAAGAGACGAAGAAGGACGUGGCAGGCUGCGAUAAGCUAAGGGGAGUUGUCAACAAACUUUGAUCCUUAGAUAUCCGAAUGGGGAAACCCGG
rnacentral:sRNA from 1 species